rnacentral:rRNA from 1 species
GAUGAACGCUGGCGGUCUGCUUAACACAUGCAAGUCGAACGGAAUCCUUCGGGAUUUAGUGGCGGACGGGUGAGUAACGCGUGAGGAUCUGCCUUCAGGACGGGGACAACAGUUGGAAACGACUGCUAAGACCCGAUGUGCCGAGAGGUGAAAUUAAUUUAGCCUGAAGAUGAACUCGCGUCGGAUUAGCUAGUUGGAGUGGUAACGGCACACCAAGGCGACGAUCCGUAGCUGGUCUGAGAGGAUGACCAGCCACACUGGGACUGAGACACGGCCCAGACUCCUACGGGAGGCAGCAGUGGGGAAUUUUCCGCAAUGGGCGAAAGCCUGACGGAGCAAGACCGCGUGGGGGAGGAAGGUCUGUGGAUUGUAAACCCCUUUUGUCAGGGAAGAAUCAAAUGACGGUACCUGACGAAUCAGCCUCGGCUAACUCCGUGCCAGCAGCCGCGGUAAUACGGAGGAGGCAAGCGUUAUCCGGAAUUAUUGGGCGUAAAGCGUCCGCAGGUGGUUAUACAAGUCUGCUGUCAAAGCGCGAGGCUCAACUUCGUACCGGCAGUGGAAACUGUAGGACUAGAGAAUGAUAGGGGCAGAGGGAAUUCCCAGUGUAGCGGUGAAAUGCGUAGAGAUUGGGAAGAACACCGGUGGCGAAAGCGCUCUGCUGGGUCAUAUCUGACACUGAGGGACGAAAGCUAGGGGAGCGAAAGGGAUUAGAUACCCCUGUAGUCCUAGCCGUAAACGAUGGACACUAGGCGUU